CGCUGGCGGCGUGCCUAAUACAUGCAAGUCGAACGGUCUUUCUAUGGAAGCUUGCUUCCACUGAGAAGAUAGUGGCGAACGGGUGAGUAACACGUGGGUAACCUGCCCAUAAGAGGGGGAUAACAUCCGGAAACGGGUGCUAAUACCGCAUAGUUUUCUUGAUCGCAUGAUCGGGAAGGAAAGACGGCCUUUGUGCUGUCGCUUAUGGAUGGACCCGCGGCGUAUUAGUUAGUUGGUGAGGUAACGGCUCACCAAGACGAUGAUACGUAGCCGACCUGAGAGGGUGAUCGGCCACAUUGGGACUGAGACACGGCCCAAACUCCUACGGGAGGCAGCAGUAGGGAAUCUUCCGCAAUGGACGAAAGUCUGACGGAGCAACGCCGCGUGAGUGAAGAAAAGGUUUUCGGAUCGUAAAACUCUGUUGUCAGAGAAGAACAAGUUGGAGAGUAACUGCUCCAGCCUUGACGGUAUCUGACCAGAAAGCCACGGCUAACUACGUGCCAGCAGCCGC
rnacentral:rRNA from 1 species